GAACUUAAGCAUAUCAAUAAGCGGAGGAAAAGAAACCAACAGGGAUUGCUUAGUAACGGCGAGUGAAGUGGCAACAGCUCAAAUUUGAAAUCAGGCAUAAAGCUUGAGUUGUAAUUUGUAGAGGAUGCUUCGAACAUGGUCUAGUUUAAGUUCCUUGGAACAGGACAUUAUAAAGGGUGAGAAUCCCGUAUGUGACUAGGUGCCUAAGUUCAUGUGAAGCUCCUUCAAUGAGUCGAGUUGUUUGGGAAUGCAGCUCAAAAUGGGUGGUAAAUUUCAUCUAAAGCUAAAUACUGGCCAGAGACCGAUAGCGCACAAGUAGAGUGAUCGAAAGAUGAAAAGCACUUUGGAAAGAGAGUCAAACAGUACGUGAAAUUGUUGAAAGGGAAGCGCUUGCAACCAGACUUGCACGUGGUUGAUCAUCUAGUGUUCUCACUAGUGCACUCGACCAUGUCCAGGCCAGCAUUGGUCUUGGUGGUUGGAUAAAGGCCCUGGGAAUGUAGCUUCUGUUAAGGAGUGUUAUAGCCCUUGGUGAAAUGCAGUCCACCAAGAUCAAGGACCGCGCUUUAGCUAGGAUGCUGGCAUAAUGGUUGUAAGCGACCCGUCUUGAAACACGGACCAAGGAGUCUAACAACUAUGCAAGUGUUUGGGUGUAAAACCCAUUCGCGUAAUGAAAGUGAAUGGAGGUGAGAACCCUAAAGGGUGCAUCAUCGACCGAUCCUGAUGUCUUCGGAUGGAUUUGAGUAAGAGCAUAGCUGUUGGGACCCGAAA
rnacentral:rRNA from 1 species